rnacentral:rRNA from 1 species
CCUACGGGAGGCAGCAGUGGGGAAUAUUGCACAAUGGGGGAAACCCUGAUGCAGCGACGCCGCGUGAGCGAUGAAGUAUUUCGGUAUGUAAAGCUCUAUCAGCAGGGAAGAAAAUGACGGUACCUGACUAAGAAGCCCCGGCUAAAUACGUGCCAGCAGCCGCGGUAAUACGUAGGGGGCAAGCGUUAUCCGGAUUUACUGGGUGUAAAGGGAGCGUAGGCGGUUGUGCAAGCCAGAUGUGAAAGCCCGGGGCUCAAACCCGGGACUGCAUUUGGAACUGUGUGGCUGGAGUGUAGGAGAGGCAAGCGGAAUUCCUAGUGUAGCGGUGAAAUGCGUAGAUAUUAGGAGGAACACCAGUGGCGAAGGCGGCCUGCUGGACGAUGACUGACGUUGAGGCUCGAAAGCGUGGGGAGCAAACAGGAUUAGAUACCCUGGUAGUC